rnacentral:rRNA from 1 species
UGCGUAGGUGGCGCGUUAAGUCCGUUGUGAAAUCCCUGGGCUCAACCCAGGAAUUGCUUCGGAUACUGGCGUGCUUGAGGCUAGUAGGGGUCACUGGAACUGACGGUGGAGCGGUGAAAUGCGUAGAUAUCGUCAGGAACGCCAAUGGUGAAGACAGGUAACUGGGCUAGUUCUGACACUGAGGCACGAAAGCGUGGGGGAGCGAACG